CUAAAUCUUUUUUUAAUAAAAUAAGAAUGAAAUUUAGAUUAUUUGUGAUUUAAUUUGUUAGUUAAUUUUUUUCUAGUUCGAUAUGAGAAUUUUCAAAUUUUAUCAUAUUGUAGGAUAUUAAUUUUGUUUAUGCAAUGGCUAAUGGAUCAGAAAACAAUAUUUGGUUCAAUAGGUUAAAAUCAGAUUCUUGAUAGAAUAAGUUAAAGUCUGAUCAGUCAAAUCAAUCAGUUCAAUCUAAUUUUUAAAUUAUUUAUACUAAUUUAAUUAAAAUGAAUAAUAAAAGUUAAGAAGCUAAUUAUAAACCGAAAGAUAA
rnacentral:lncRNA from 1 species